rnacentral:rRNA from 1 species
CGCGGCCUAUCAGCUUGUUGGUGGGGUGAAGGCCUACCAAGGCGAUUACGGGUAGCCGGCCUGAGAGGGCGAUCGGCCACACUGGGACUGAGACACGGCCCAGACUCCUACGGGAGGCAGCAGUGGGGAAUAUUGCGCAAUGGGCGGAAGCCUGACGCAGCGACGCCGCGUGGGGGAUGACGGCCUUCGGGUUGUAAACCUCUUUUACCACCGACGCAGGCCCGCGCUUUUGUGCGGGUUGACGGUAGGUGGGGAAUAAGGACCGGCCAACUACGUGCCAGCAGCCGCGGUAAUACGUAGGGUCCGAGCGUUGUCCGGAAUUAUUGGGCGUAAAGAGCUCGUAGGUGGUGUGUCGCGUCUGCUGUGUAAGUCCGGGGCUUAACUCCGGUUUUGCAGUGGAUACGGGCAUGCUAGAGGUAGGCAGGGGAGACUGGAAUUCCUGGUGUAGCGGUGAAAUGCGCAGAUAUCAGGAGGAACACCGGUGGCGAAGGCGGGUCUCUGGGCCUUACCUGACGCUGAGGAGCGAAAGCGUGGGGAGCGAACAGGAUUAGAUACCCUGGUAGUCCACGCUGUAAACGUUGGGCGCUAGGUGUGGGGACCUUCCACGGUUUCCGUGCCGUAGCUAACGCAUUAAGCGCCCCGCCUGGGGAGUACGG